GACGAACGCUGGCGGCGUGCCUAAUACAUGCAAGUCGAACGCUUCUUUCCUCCCGAGUGCUUGCACUCAAUUGGAAAGAGGAGUGGCGGACGGGUGAGUAACACGUGGGUAACCUACCCAUCAGAGGGGGAUAACACUUGGAAACAGGUGCUAAUACCGCAUAACAGUUUAUGCCGCAUGGCAUAAGAGUGAAAGGCGCUUUCGGGUGUCGCUGAUGGAUGGACCCGCGGUGCAUUAGCUAGUUGGUGAGGUAACGGCUCACCAAGGCCACGAUGCAUAGCCGACCUGAGAGGGUGAUCGGCCACACUGGAACUGAGACACGGCCCAGACUCCUACGGGAGGCAGCAGUAGGGAAUCUUCGGCAAUGGACGAAAGUCUGACCGAGCAACGCCGCGUGAGUGAAGAAGGUUUUCGGAUCGUAAAACUCUGUUGUUAGGGAAGAACAAGGACGUUAGUAACUGAACGUCCCCUGACGGUAUCUAACCAGAAAGCCACGGCUAACUACGUG
rnacentral:rRNA from 1 species